ensembl:snoRNA small nucleolar RNA SNORA9
GCGCAGGUUUAUCCAGCAAGGCAGAACCAACAGUGGCCCUGUCCUUUCCUGUAUUGCCUGCUAGAUUCACGUGGGGUGGUUUGAGGCCUUGCCGUGCUCUAUCCAUGGCAAGGUUAUAGAAACCUCAGACAAAA